rnacentral:tRNA from 1 species
AGCCCUGAGGUGUUCGGCACGUAAGAUUGCAAAUCUUAAAGAGCGGACUAGCGUCGGCCGGGGCUU